rnacentral:rRNA from 1 species
UAGGGAAUCUUCCGCAAUGGGCGAAAGCCUGACGGAGCAACGCCGCGUGAGUGAUGAAGGUCUUCGGAUCGUAAAACUCUGUUAUUAGGGAAGAACAUAUGUGUAAGUAACUGUGCACAUCUUGACGGUACCUAAUCAGAAAGCCACGGCUAACUACGUGCCAGCAGCCGCGGUAAUACGUAGGUGGCAAGCGUUAUCCGGAAUUAUUGGGCGUAAAGCGCGCGUAGGCGGUUUUUUAAGUCUGAUGUGAAAGCCCACGGCUCAACCGUGGAGGGUCAUUGGAAACUGGAAAACUUGAGUGCAGAAGAGGAAAGUGGAAUUCCAUGUGUAGCGGUGAAAUGCGCAGAGAUAUGGAGGAACACCGGUGGCGAAAGCGGCUCUCUGGUCUGUAACUGACGCUGAGGCUCGAAAGCGUGGGGAGCGAACAGGAUUAGAUACCCUGGUAGUCCACGCCGUAAACGAUGAGUGCUAGGUGUUGGAUCCUUUCCGGGAUUCAGUGCCGCAGCUAACGCAUUAAGCACUCCGCCUGGGGAGUACGACCGCAAGGUUG